GGAGGGGGCCAGCGUUGUUCGGAAUUAUUGGGCGUAAAGGGCGCGUAGGCGGUCGAGUAAGUCUGACGUGAAAUCCCUUGGCUCAACCAAGGAAUUGCGUCUUAAACUGCUCGGCUUGAGUCCGGGAGAGGGUAGUGGAAUUCCCAGUGUAGCGGUGAAAUGCGUAGAUAUUGGGAGGAACACCGGUGGCGAAGGCGGCUACCUGGACCGGUACUGACGCUGAGGCGCGAAAGCGUGGGGAGCAAACAGGAUUAGAUACCCUGGUAGUCCACGCCGUAAACGAUGGGUGCUAGACGUUGGCGAGCUUGCUCGUCAGUGUCGCAGCUAACGCGUUAAGCACCCCGCCUGGGGAGUACGGCCGCAAGGUUG
rnacentral:rRNA from 1 species